GAAUCUUAAGCAGGCUCCAUGCCCAGUGCAGAGCCCAACGCUGGGCUCAAUCUCAUGACCCUGAGAUCACGACCUGAGCCACAAUCAAGAGUCUGACGCUUAGCCGACUGAGCCACCAGGCUCCCCUAGAGUAUAAAUUUAGACAUCAAAUAAAUAAAAUGGUUCCAGGGAAUAAAUAUAAAAGCUGUUGAGCUGACUCAGGUGAUCUCUCCUAAGAGAACAGGAUCUAUUCUCCAGGCCAGCCCACAGGCUGAAGCAAAGGGGAAGCAUUCUGGAAAGUGCAUUUUUGGACUAUAUACAGAAACUAAAAGGUGUAGCCAUGGAUAAGCAAUCAGAGCAUGAGACGUUCAUUUGGAUCCAUUCCAACAGACAAAAUGAGAGGACUUCUCUGGUGUCCCUCUGAGGUAGAUUUGGACUAAAAUCCUUUGAAGGAACUUUUGUUUCAUAAAUGUCAUACAAGAUUGCCAUGGCAAGAUGCUAACGGGUUGCCAAACCUAAGACUCUUGAAAAAUAAUUAUCUUGGAAACACCUGAGUGCAGGAGUAUAGUUUUAUUAGUAGAUCAAACACUUGUGGCUGCUCACAUAGAUUUUGAGGCCUAUUGUCCUUCUGAGAAUGUAGUUUAGGGAAAGAACAGAACAGAAAAGAUAAAACAACAAAGGAGUUUGUUUUUAAGACAAAAAGUUAGUCAGAAAGAGUCUAGGAGCUGCUAUUUCCUGGCCUGAUGCUGUGCUGUCUGUGAGGUAUGAUGUAGAAUGUGUAGAAUGAGCGCUUGAAGUAGGGUUUGGUUUUCUUUUACUUUGUUUUCCCCGUGGUGGAAAAAUCUCUGUCAUGAUUCCACUAGGCUUGCUGGCCUGGUCAUCUUGUGAGCAAAUCAUACAUGUAAAUGCACUGGCUCUUCCCUCUUAUCAACCCUAGUACUUGGCUAAAGAAUAGUCUGGGGUUAUCUCCCAGUUCACAAGUUCAGUUUCUAAUUCUGUCUUCACUAUUGGGCCUGAGGAGACCACCGCUGCAUCUUACUUCUUGGGUUUUCAUUUGCUAUUUUAAUUGUCCAAUCUUCUUAUUUCAGUGAAUAAUACAGCUGGUGAAUCUUAGAGGAAUAUGGGCAUGUCACAAGGACAUAAAAGCCUGUUCUGUGUGACCUCAGUGAGUUGCUAAUGUCACUGGCCAAAUAAAGACCUAGGUGUCAAGCUACUUCCUCCCACCCUUUUGUUCACCCCACAGCCACACUGAGGAACCUCAAGGAGACUCUUCCCAAGUUCACAUUCUCUUUCCUUGUGCAGAUGUGACCUGUAGCUACUCAGUAUGUCAGUGACUCUCUUGAGGACUUGGGAAUCUCAAAAGAUUUGAGGAGAAAAAUAAUUGAAUUGAAGGACUUUUACAGCCCCAUCUGUAAGUGUAAUACCAACGAAAUCCUGACCUGAAUACGUUGUUGAAAAAUGUCUCCGGUUCCAGAGGAAAUUCUACUGAAAGCAUCAAUCAUGCUGUUGGAAUUUGAUUUAUCUGGAACAAAGAACUUUAAACCUCCUGAAAUACAUGAUCGGGAUGUUAACGAUUAAAAUGUAUAAAAUAAAACAAAAAAAUAACAAGUUAGGUCUUUUCCAACAACCUUUCUUAUGAAAGAGGGCUAGUGUUGGGGAAGGAGUUGUGCUUGACUUGCUUUGUGUGGCAUCCUACCAGCCACAUGGUAAGCUCAGAGGUGAGUGGUUUUGUCUGUUUUGUUCACAGCUGUAAUGUCAAGGUCUAAACGUCUAUCUGGUACAGGAUAAAAACUCAGUAAAUAUUUAUUAAAUAGUCUUGUAAUUAAGGUAAUUUGUAGAGAGCCUAGGGUAAUUGCCAUCUAUCAUUGGUAUAUAUUUACAUUUACAUUUAUAUUCUGAUAACAUUGUUUUCAAAGAUAAUUCAAUAAAAUCUAACUUUCAGUUUUUAAGUCAGCAAUACUCAUUUUUAUUGACUAAGGAAUAGAAGGUAAAAUUAUUCCAUGCCUCAUUUGGAACAAAGAAAAUAUGUAUCUUACAAUAUGGUAUGUGUCCUUAUGGAAAUUAGUGCAUUUAAUCUUUUUAAAAAAAUUCUUUUAUUGUUAUGUUAAUCACCAUACAUUACACCAUUAGUUUUAGAUGUAGUGUUCCAUGAUUCAUUGUUUGUGCAUAACACCCAGUGCUCCAUGCAUAACGUGCCCUCUUUAAUACGCAUCACCAGGCUAACCCAUCCUCCCACUCCCCUCCCCUAGAACCCUCAGUUGGUUUUUCAGAGUCCAUCGUCUCUCAUGGUUCGUCUCCCCCUCCGAUUUCCCCCCCUUCAUUCUUCCCCUCCUGCUAUCUUCUUCUUUUUUUUUUUUCUUGACAUGUAUUGCAUUAUUUGUUUCAGAGGUACAGAUCUGAGAUUCAACAGUCUUAGUGCAUUUAAUCUUAAACAUAUUUUUAGCUCUGUGAUUAUACAUGCUCAGAUUGGUUUAACAAAGAAAUGGUAAAAUUAUAUUUUCAAUGGAUGUAUAUAAUUGGCACCUUCUAAGGAAAAUGUUUAAAAGUCAGCAAAAUUUGGGGCAUUUGGGUGGCUCAGUUGGUUGAGUAUCCAACUCUUGAUUUUGGCUCAGGUCAUGAUCUCAGGGUUUUGAGAUUGAGGCCAGUGUUGAGCUUUACUGGGCGUGGAGCCUGCUUGGGAUUCUCUGUCUUCCUCUCCCUCUGCCCCUCCCCCACCCCUCUCUCCCCCCUCUCUAAAAAAAAAAAAUCCACAAAAUUUUGGCAGAUUUUAACAAUGAUUUUUAUGUUGUUUUCCUUAAGAUAACUGUUUCUAUUUUUUUUCACUUAAGCCACACAUUCUAUCGACAUAAUCUGAGCUUCAUGGUUGUGCUUUGAAUAUUCAAGUUAAAGGAAAUGCUCUAAAAUACAAGGUUUUUAAAAUAUAUUUACCUGUAUGACGUGAUAAUUCCUCCAGAUUUUUGACCACGGAUGAACCCAGGGCAAUGGAAUGAAUGGUUGAACCACUGCUGAGCACGACUCAUGUCUGAAGCCUCAAAUUCUGUGGAAAAUAUCUGGAUGAAAAGAGAUAAUCAGAUCCAGCAAUCUCACUCCUUGGUAUUUACCUAAAGGAAUCGAAAACAUAUGUCCACAUAAAAACCUCCAUGCAGAUGUUUAUAGCAGCCUUAUUCAUAAUUGCCAAAACUUGGAAGCAAAUGAGAUGUCCUUUAGUAGGUGAGUGGAUAAAUAAACUAUGGUACAUCCAGACAAUGGAAUAUUAUGGAAAUGAGAUAUUAAGCCAUGGAAAACAUGGAGGAAACUUAAAUGCAUGCUACCAAGUAAAAGAAACCAAUCUGAAAAGGACACAUACUGUAUGAUUCCAAUUAUAUGACAUGGUGGCAAAGGCAAAACUAUAGAGACAGUAAAAAGAUCAAUGCUUGCUAAGGCUUUGGGGAAAAGGAGAGAUGAAAAGGCAAAGCAUAGGGAAUUUUUAGGGCAGUGAAAAUACUCCUUAUAAUGUUGUAAUAGUGAAUGCAACAUCCUUAUGUAGUUGUCCAAACUCAGAAUGUGCAACACCAAGAGUGAACCCUAAUGUAAACUAUGGACUCUGGGUAGUAAUGAUUUGUCAAACCAGCUUCAUCAGUUGUAACAAAUGUUCUGUCUGGUGGGAGAUGUUGAUAGUGAGGGAGACUAUGUAUGUGUGUGGACAGGGAAUAUAUGGCAUGUCUUUGAAUCUUCCCCCAAUUUAGCUGUGAACCCAAAACUUCUCUAAAAAAGAAAGUCUAAAAAAAGAGAGAGAUAAUCAUUCUUGAUUUUCUGUCAUGUGCUUUACACCUUAGAGCAACUGUUGUUUACUAAUACCUAUCACCUAUAGGACACUUACGAUUUGAUCAGACAGGGCUAUGUGCUCUACAAAUAUGACCUCAAUCAUCACAACAAUCCUAUCAGGCAGGUAGAAUUAUUCUUUAAUUUUUUGGGGGGGGCGGUGGGGAAAACACAACUUAGAGAAGUAACUUGCCCAGGACUUGUGGUUAGAAAACAUGAAUACAGGUUGGUAUGGUUCCAAAGGCUUUGCUCUUUUUUUUUUUUUUAAAGAUUUUAUUUAUUUAUUUGAGACAGAGAGAAUGAGAGAGACAGAGAGCACAUGAGAGGGGGGAGAGUCAGAGGGAGAAGCAGGCUCCCUGCCGAGCAGGGG